GGAGAGAUGGCCGAGCGGUUGAAGGCGCUGCUCUCGAAAAGCAGUAAGGGGGAAACCUCUUCGUGGGUUCGAAUCCCACUCUCUCCGCCA
rnacentral:tRNA from 1 species